rnacentral:rRNA from 1 species
CAGCCGCCACGGUAAUACGUAGGGUGCGAGCGUUAAUCGGAAUUACUGGGCGUAAAGCGUGCGCAGGCGGUUUUGUAAGACAGGCGUGAAAUCCCCGGGCUCAACCUGGGAAUGGCGCUUGUGACUGCAAAGCUAGAGUGCGGCAGAGGGGGAUGGAAUUCCGCGUGUAGCAGUGAAAUGCGUAGAUAUGCGGAGGAACACCGAUGGCGAAGGCAAUCCCCUGGGCCUGCACUGACGCUCACGCACGAAAGCGUGGGGAGCAAACAGGAUUAGAUACCCGCGUAGUCCCUGUCUCUUAUAC